rnacentral:rRNA from 1 species
CCUACGGGAGGCAGCAGUGAGGAAUAUUGGUCAAUGGCCGUAAGGCUGAACCAGCCAAGUCGCGUGAAGGAAGAAGGAUCUAUGGUUUGUAAACUUCUUUUAUAGGGGAAUAAAGGUAUCCACGUGUAGGAUUUUGUAUGUACCAUAUGAAUAAGGAUCGGCUAACUCCGUGCCAGCAGCCGCGGUAAUACGGAGGAUCCGAGCGUUAUCCGGAUUUAUUGGGUUUAAAGGGAGCGUAGGUGGAUUGUUAAGUCAGUUGUGAAAGUUUGCGGCUCAACCGUAAAAUUGCAGUUGAAACUGGCAGUCUUGAGUACAGUAGAGGUGGGCGGAAUUCGUGGUGUAGCGGUGAAAUGCUUAGAUAUCACGAAGAACUCCGAUUGCGAAGGCAGUUCACUGGACUGCAACUGACACUGAGGCUCGAAAGUGUGGGUAUCAAACAGGAUUAGAUACCCGUGUAGUC